CAGCCGCCGCGGGAACACGGAGGGUGCAAGCGUUAAUCGGAAUUACUGGGCGUAAAGCGUGCGUAGGCGGUUUGUUAAGUCUGCUGUGAAAUCCCCGGGCUCAACCUGGGAGUGACAGUGGAUACUGGCAAGCUAGAGUGUGUCAGAGGAUGGUGAAAUUCCCGGUGUAGCGGUGAAAUGCGUAGAGAUCGGGAGGAACAUCAGUGGCGAAGGCGGCCAUCUGGGACAACACUGACGCUGAGGCACGAAAGCGUGGGGAGCAAACAGGAUUAGAUACCCGGGUAGUCCCUGUCUCUUAUAC
rnacentral:rRNA from 1 species